rnacentral:rRNA from 1 species
CAUAUCACCCUGAACAUGCCCAAUCUCGUCUGAUCUUGGAAGCUAAGCAAGGUCAGGCCCGGUUAGUACUUGGAUGGGGGAACAGUCUUGUUUAAAAUGAAAGACCACUAAAAAGAAAAUUUGGCU